UGAGUUCUGACUAAUCAAAUGAAUGAAAGGAAAAGCUUGUUGCCAUUAUCAUAAAAGAUAUUAAAUGAUCCAGAUUAUUAUCUGCAGAUAAUAUACAUCAUGCAUUUGACUGAUAUUGGUUGCGCCCAUAUACUUUAUCUAAAGCAACAUUACACGUAUUGGUUAUGCUUAUACAGCAGAAAUUAGACUCUGGUUACUCUUCCAUUAAUUUAGUGGGACACUUGAUUGUAAUAGCGUGUACCAAGCUUGAGAUAAUUGUUUUUGAUGUGCCUUUCCUGGGGCCUAGAUCAUCACGGGUCUCAUGGGUUGGAAUUCUUUCUAAUCUUUAGCUUUAUCAUUAAUGAUUGAGUUGAUUGUUGUGUCUAUCAUUUGCAUUCCUCUUUUGACUUUGAAUCACGUGCUGAUAUACACAGUGACUACACUAACAUUACUAUAUACAAUACUACCGCCACAACAUCAAUUAAGUCUUAAUCCCAAACUAG
rnacentral:misc_RNA from 1 species